rnacentral:rRNA from 1 species
UACGUAGGGGGCAAGCGUUGUCCGGAAUUAUUGGGCGUAAAGAGCGUGUAGGCGGCUCGGUAAGUCUGCUGUGAAAGUCCAAGGCUCAACCUUGGAAUGCCGGUGGAUACUGUCGAGCUCGAGUCCGGAAGAGGAGAGUGGAAUUCCUGGUGUAGCGGUGAAAUGCGCAGAUAUCAGGAAGAACACCCGUGGCGAAGGCGGCUCUCUGGUACGUGACUGACGCUGAGACGCGAAAGCGUGGGGAGCGAACAGG